UUCAUUUUUAAGAAUUGGAGCAGUUACCUAGGUAUAUGCACUACUUUUCCCACUUCAACUUCAGAAAUGGUAGAAACUCCCACAUUUAUCCACUUUAAAUUACAUUCAUUCUCCCACUAACUUUUCUGUUCCUCCUUCUUUGCUAUUUAAGUUUUGCCAAACAUCUCAUUGUUUUGUUAUUAACUUUACUCAAUUUCUCGCCACCAAAAAAGAAAUUUUUGUGUUUCUUUGGUUAAGACUUUCCAAGUUUAAGUAAUUGUGAAGUUGGAUUGCAAACUCAGAUUUUGUACUCGAAAUAACAAAAGAAGCAUCAACUAUGGAACUGGUUACAAUUUUUUAAUGGAGGCGGAUGAAUAUAAUUGUUGCUUCCUUAGAGUAACACCUCAAAUAGCAGUGGUAACAAAUAAGAUUGGGAACAUAUAGACAUGUUCAAGACGAGGUAUCAAUGAGGUAGAUGGAGACAUAAUGGGACUAUGGAAUGCGGAUGGCAUAUGACACAAGAGAGAGUAGCAGUCUUGACCAAAUAUGGUGCCUAAAAACUAUGUCCAAGACUAAUUUGUCAUUUAGAGUUAGUCUAGGGACUUAGAAGGAAAUUAUGAGGGAAAAGUUAUUAAAACUACUUGAUGUUGAAAAGUCACAUAUUAUUCAUUAUUCUAUUUUAUUUUCUUGCACUGAGAGUGGCGACUUAGCACUAAGGGAGAAACUCAACUUCUUCUUCUCCAUCAAAAAUUGGGUUUACUUUUUGGCAUGAUGAAUAUUUCUAUUGUGAUUUCUGUUUUACUCAUGAGUAGCUAAGGUUAUUGGUUAGAGUUAUGGAAGCCUUGUAGCAUACAAUCUAUUACUUUGA